GCACAAGCAGCGGAGCGUGUGGUUAAUUCGAUGCUACACGAAGAACCUUACCAGGUUUGACAUACAAGUAGUAGGGAAGGAAACUGGACCGACCCUUCGGGGAGCUUGUACAGGUGCUGCAUGGCUGUCGUCAGCUCGUGUCGUGAGAUGUUCGGUUAAGUCCGCUAACGAGCGCAACCCUCGUCGUAUGUUAUAUGUGUCAUACGAGACUGCCGGUAAAAGCCGGAGGAAGGUGAGGAUGAUGUCAAGUCAGCAUGACCUUUAUAUCCAGGGCUACACACACGCUACAAUGGUCUGUACAAUGGGUAGCCAAGCCGCGAGGCGGAGCCAAUCCUGAAAGCAGGCCUCAGUUCAGAUUGCAGUCUGCAACUCGACUGCAUGAAGCCGGAGUUGCUAGUAACCGCAGGUCAGCAAUACUGCGGUGAAUACGUUCCCGGGUCUU
rnacentral:rRNA from 1 species